UUGCCACACAACUUUGGUGGUAGGCUAUUAGCUUCAGAAAGCACCGCUUCAGAAAGCUGCACUGCUUGUGAAAAAAGGGGGGGGGGCUUAACGUAGCUUAAUGUCCCAAAACGUACAUUACACAUACAACGAACCUACAAACAUUUUCAUGUUCUCCAUCGGACUUCCUGAAACACACCCACAAGUCAGAUGGCAUUUCGCAUUAUCCUGUGGGUGGAUCCUAUCCCGAGUUUCAUGUAACAUUAACCAGUAAGUGCAUUGAGUCAGUGCUGCAGAAUGAAGCUGUCAAGUAGCCAGUGUCUCGUGUGAUGUUUUUGAGGCGUUAUCCUCGAAACUGAAAUUCGUACUAGGCCUACAGUAGUAGGCUACAGAAAAACAUCGAGAAUGACUUCAUCUUUGGGCGACGGGGACCCGCUAGAUAAUGGAAAUACAUCGAUGACUGAUACCUACUGUAUUGUUUGUAUGGACAAUAUACAAGACAAAAAAACCUUGAAAUGUUCCCAUUCCUUUUGCUCAAGUUGCAUAGACGAUGUAUUCAGAGUAAAACCUGCGUGUCCGGUUUGUAAUGCGUUUUAUGGGACCUAUUAUGGUACUCAGCCUCGGGAUGGAGUCAUGAAAGUGACCCGCACUUGGCAAUGUUUACCUGGGUAUGAAGGCUGUGGAACUAUUGUUAUCAACUACAGUUUUCCACCAGGCAUCCAAGGGCCUGAACAUCCAAACCCUGGCAAACGUUAUGCAAGCACAUCCAGACAGGCUUUCCUACCCGCCUGUGAGGAGGGUGAGCAGGUCCUCCAGCUGCUGAAGACGGCUUUUAAACGCAGGCUCAUCUUCACUGUGGGAACCUCUGCCACCACAGGACUCUCCAAUUCCAUCACCUGGAACGACAUUCAUCACAAGACUAACAUCGGUGGAGGCCCUGCAAUCUUUGGGUACCCAGAUCCAAGCUACCUCAAGCGGGUUAAGGAGGAGCUGUACCUGAAGGGAGUUACUGAAGCAAGCCUGGAGCACUCACCCAUGGAGAGCCCAGUUUGAGAGGCCGUCGUCAAUGUUUACCAGAGCCCUUAUCUGUUACGAUCAAAGCCGAUCGACGAUCAAUUGUGUCAUAAGACUUCAAAAGCAAAGUACUGGAAUGGAGUACAGUGGAGUAUAAACAGUGACUCAGAGAAGGGCACAGCCUCAGUGGACAAGGGAGAGGAGAGUGAGAGAUGCGCCAGUGCUGCUGCUGAUGACUCAUGUUUCCAUGGAUGGACCUCUGUUCUUUUGGGACAUGCUGGUAAUCUGAACCAUUUGCUGCCGGCUAAACUGUCUCUUGUCAUCAUUUGGUCUGUCCAUCUGUACCCAAGUGGUGAACAGACAUUUGAUGUUAAUGCCAUCGUUAUCAUUUUGAUACUAGCACUGUAUCAGGUUGGGUUGUAGCACUUAAAAAAGCCAGUUGUAGCACUUAAAAAAGCCAGUAAACUUACACUUUUAGUCAAAUAUGGGUGCAGCUUUUAAUUGAGUUUUAAUACAUCCAAUAUAGAAGCUGUUAUUUAAGUGCCAACAGAAAUGCUUACUUCCAGGUCAUUAGCUGAACCAAAUUGUACCUGUGCUAUUCUCAUCUGUAGCUGCUGGCCUCUGAAUGGGGAUGAGCUGUGUGUUAUAGUGUUUUGGGGAUUGCUGAGGAGUAGUGUUUCUCUAGUUGUGGAGGUUCAGAGGUUUUGUGGUUUCUGGUUUGUCCUUGAAUGAAUUAUUUAUGUGUGUGCAUGUUUGUGCCUCUGACGAUGGUAGUGUGAUUUGACCAGUCAUGUCAAACUGAUCUCAUUUAACAGUGGGUGGGCUACACAAACAAUAGCAUUGUGUUUACCAACAGCACAGCAAACAGUGUUAGAAAAAGAAGAAAAAACUGGUUUGAAGAGAGCAACAGUGACUUGUCACUGGAAUUGGAGUGAUAUGCUCUUUACCCAUAUCUGACAUUGUCUCAUGCAGUGUACAACACUCCUGUCUGAAGACAUCACUGCAUCUCAGUCUUGCACAGCGAAACCAUUCAUCUGAGAGGAUACAUGUCAGGCUCUGCCCGUGUAACAGGCUCAUGGAGUUUUUUCUUUUUUUGG